AUGGAAAAGAAAAGGAAAAUGGCAAAGAUACAGUAGCGACGAUCUGUAGCUUUCCCUUUUUUAAUAUCAGUAUAUCACGACAUUAUUUUUACUUUUAAAUAUUUU
rnacentral:ribozyme from 13 species